CAUUGAUGCACAAUGAAUGUGGUACUGCAGUUUAAUAAUUAUGGUCCACAAUUUUGUUAAAAAUUUGAGUGAAUAUUUCCAGAAAGUUGAUUGUGGCCAUACCUGUUGGAGUAGUAAAGACAAACGUUCAAAUUGCUCUUCUUGAUGUAACCCCCAAGCUGUAGGCUGCUGUUAUUUUAAGAGGUGGAGACGCAUUAUCUGAAAUGGCUGUUGCAAUGUAUUGAAAUUAAAUUUUAUUAAAAACUCUGGAAAGUGCAGUGGCCUGUUGGACCACCUGGACAGCGAGGCGCGAGAGUUGGAAGUGUUUCCACCAUUACGUCAGAUACUCCUCUGCCGCAGAUUUGGAAGAUUUGCAAUAUUGUGGGUUGUAGAAGGUCCUUCCAACAUAACUUCAGGAACAGUUGCAGAACAAUCACUGGAAGUGUUAAAUGCUACAGAAAGUAGCAUAGUUGUCAGAAUUAGAGGGCCAAAAAUAUUGAUGGGAAAGUCGAACUUCAGCCCUGAGUUUGAAGGUGUUAAUUGCUUGACAUUCUGAAUUAGGCG